rfam:Talaromyces stipitatus ATCC 10500 scf_1105507295527 genomic scaffold, whole genome shotgun sequence.
GGCAGCGUGACUGAGUGGUUAAAGUGAUUGACUAGAAAUCAAUUGGGUUCGCCCGCGCAUGUUCGAAUCAUGCCGCUGUCG